ensembl:snRNA U2 U2 spliceosomal RNA
AUCGCUUCUUGGCCUUUUGGCUAAGAUCAAGUGUAGGAAUCAAUGAAUUUCUGGUUAUGGAGGCUAAAAUGAUAUCUAAUCUUGACUUAAUCUAGGUCUCUUCAGUAUUUGUCACCCUUUACUACAUUCUCUGCUGAUGCACU